rnacentral:rRNA from 1 species
UAUGUGAUCGUCUCUCGCAUAUCAAUAAGCGGAGGAAAAGAAACUAGCAAGGAUUCCCCUAGUAACGGCGAGUGAAGCGGGAAGAGCUCAAAUUUGAAAUCUUAAAGGGUUUCCCUUUACGAAUUGUAGUUUAAAGAAGUGUUUUCUGUUGAGGUUUUGGUAAAAGUUCCUUUGGAAUAGGACAUCAUAGAGGGUGAGAAUCCCGUAUUUGACCUUUACUUUCAACUUUGUGAUACACUUUCAAAGAGUCGGAUUGUUUGGGAAUGCAGUCCAAAAUGGGUGGUAAAUUUCAUCUAAAGCUAAAUAUUGGCGAGAGACCGAUAGCGAACAAGUACCGUGAGGGAAAGAUGAAAAGAACUUUGAAAAGAGAGUUAAACAGUACGUGAAAUUGUCAAAAGGGAAGCGUUUGACACCAGUGUUGUUUUUCUGAAAAUCAAUUAAAGAACUGUUUAUGCUAAGCUGUUUAGACUUUAUCAGCUAUCUGUUUAGUUUUGAGCUUUUCUUUAAUGCACUUUUCAGUUAACAAGUCAACAUCAAUUUCUUUUGCUGUAAAGAAGCUUGAGGAAGGUGGCUUGAGAUUCGUCUUAAGUGUUUAUAGCCUCUUGCCUAUGCAGUCGGAGAGAUUGAGGUCUGCAGCGUAGAUCCUUCGGGGCUAAAUGCAUUUGUGCUAAGUUAUAGCAUUUUAUAGACAACUUGUUGACUAUGAUUUGUCUUGUAGCUUACUCGCUUAUGUUAUUUUACCUACGCUUAGGAUGUUGAGCGCAUGUCUCUCUCU